UGGGGAAUAUUGCACAAUGGGGGGAACCCUGAUGCAGCAACGCCGCGUGAGUGAAGAAGUGAUUCGUUAUGUAAAGCUCUAUCAGCAGGGAAGAAAAUGACGGUACCUGAGUAAGCAGCCCCGGCUAACUACGUGCC
rnacentral:rRNA from 1 species